rnacentral:lncRNA from 1 species
AUAAUUUCUAAACAUUUUUAUUUCAAAUCUUUUUUCACCCCUCCCCCAAAAGACAUGGGUUGGUACAGCAACCCUAAAAAGGAGAUACAAACACAAGAGUCAAAUGUCUCCUGCACUGACACUUACAAAAACCGGGAAUUGUACAUGGGGUUUCCAAACAGGACCUGCAGCAGUUACUAACCAACAUGCUUAUGGAUACGGUAUGUACAGACAGCCCGCUCUGGGACUAAUCUACAGGGAUCCCUAGUUCCCUCUACCCCAGAAAAAUACCGAAACACACCCAAAGUGCAUUUGUCUUAUAUCAAAACAUCUUUCCCUCUCCCUCCCGCCCUCAGACCUUCCUACCUCAUUUAAGAUUGGCCUGUAAGUCUAUUUUAACCAUUUAGUCAUUUCUUAUAGUUUAUGAAAAUAAAUUAUACAGCAAGUAUUUUAAUAAAUUAAGCAUAAAAGGGGAGAGAAAAAGGACAACUGAAUGGGAAGACAAAAGCCAGGCCACGCUUUGGCUUGAGGGACGGGGGUGCUGAGGAGGUCGCAGCGGUUGCAGUAGUGGCUUCGCUUCUGGCGCCCGCCUGGGCCAGGCCACCGCCCCUCUUCCUCCGGGUCUUUACCAACCACAAUGUACAGCAGCAGUGGUGCCUUGGCCCUUCUUGUCCCUUAAGGGAGCACCAGGGACAGAUGAGUCCCCAGCCUGGCCUGCCCACUGCGCCAGAGCCAGUAGGGAGUGGGGCUACAGCUCAGUGUGAGCAGCCUCCGUGCUUACGCCACCUCCAGGGGCAACCUCGAUCGCAGUCCAGCUGCAACCUCAUGUUCACGCCUGCCUGCCUGCCUAGUGUCUCUUGGCUGGGGCGGGGGGGGCAGAUCCAGGCCCCCCACCCCCGAGCCCUGCUGAGAUAAAUGGGGGAGGCAGGGCACUCAGCAUGCAGGACUGGCUUCCGGGAGGUAGAUGCGGUGGGGGGGGGCAGUGCAGAUGGGACAGGGAGGGAGGCAGAAGAAACCAGGUGACACCUGCCAGGGAGCCCAAGAAGCAAGGAAAAGGACAAAUGCGACGUGGGAUCUGCAGGGAAAUUAAGUUUUUCUCUGGCAGACAAAUCAGUAUUUUUUUUGGUACUGGGGAUCGAACUCAUGACCUUGCACUUGCAAGGCAGACAUGGUGCCAGCGAGCAAAGUCCCCAGCCCGAGAAAUCAGUAUUUUAAAUGCAGCCCAUUCCUGUCUUGUCACUGUGGCACUGGAGCCCCCAGUGCCAUCUCUGUGCCUCGGGCCCUCAGCCUCCCCUCACUUUGUGCUGGCCAUGAAGGCUCCAGUGUCCAAGCAAGACUUACCAUGGGGACUUGUGGACUGGACCUUGUGGCCCCAUAAUCCUACAGCUAUCAUAAUGGGGACACUUCUUUUUUUUUUCUUUUUUUUUUUAAUAAAAAAGGUUUUACUCCCCAGGAGCAAAUAAAUCAUUUGAACUACUGAUAAACACUGCUGCAGUGAAAACAAAGAUGGCUACAUGUAUGCAAUAGCACAACUCAGUGUGAGAACAGCUGCGUGGACAAUCAGAGAUCAAAACCACUUACCCAUUCCCCUCCCCACAAACCCAACCCCGAGGAUUCCCAUAGGGAAAAUGUCUAACUCAAAGCCCUCCCCUUCACACAGGGGCGCGGUGCUCUCAGCUCUGGGGACAAACUAGGCUCCCCUGGGCUCCCCGACUGGCAGCAGGACGUCUGCCGAUGGGGACGACAUGCAGCAGCCACGGGACCACAGCCUGGCGGGUGCCCUGUGCCCUGGCUCUGGGGCGCAGAAGGGCUAGGGAGCUCCCUCACCGAGGCACUUCUGGCUCCCGAAGCGUCCCACACCCAGCCUGGGCCACCCCUCCUCCCCACGCCACACAGGGAGGAGCAGGGGUCACAGAGGCAGCUCCUGCUCCAGGCUGGGACAUUCACUUCGCCUCCACGCAGACGGAGACCAGGGUGUGGUCACCAGCGGCCCCCAACUCCUCUAAAGGCCAGACGUCAUCACCCACUUACAGGCCCCACAUCGAAGCUCCGCCCUCCUCCUGUGCCCGACUUGACUCGGCACGUUUCAAGUAACAGCAGGUUGUAGCAGUAGUUGUCACUAGCACACAUCCUGGGGGCCACUGCAGGUCACACCCACAGCGGUCACUAGGAGGGAGGACCCUCCCCAGUGGUGACUACUGCAGCAGCCAGGACUAAAGGGGUCCCUCUGCACAGCAGCCCGCCCCCUCCCGCCCACACUCCACCCUUGCCACCCGCACAGGGCCAACUGCAGCCCUUCUGCUGAGGAAGGCUCAGACAGCUGAAGUUCAGCACUUUCUCCUGGGGGAUGAAGCAGGUGCCUGGAGGCUUGGCCACACCUCUGCCCAGUCUGGUUUUGUUCCUGAGUGUGUGGAUUCUCCGGGAGAAGCCCAGGCUCACAGGGGAGCGGGGGACUGAGUGAGGAGAGCAAACAGCCAGGGCCUGGGUGAGGCACCACCUGCUUCCGACCUGCCCGGUGACCGGCUUCAGUCUGGACCCCAAGAUGCUGCUGUAAGGGGCUGUGCGGGAGGCGCUUCGGACUCUGCUUCAUGGCUCGGGCUCCCGUUCCCUUCUCAGCCUCAGCAAGCUGCCCUGCCCACACUGCGCCUCAUCGCCAGAGCUUCCAGACCAUCUGGUCUGAUCUCACCCACUUCUCAGCAUCCUCCAGUCCUCGCUUCUCUGCCACAAGUGGUCUCCAGUGACUUCACUCAUGGCAGUCGCCAGAAGGUUCCCUCGGGCCAGAGAUCUUGUCUUCUGCCUGUGUUUCCCACAGUGCCUAGUCCAGAGCCACACACUCGCAGUACUUCUAAACUUAUGGGUGGCGGAAAUGGGGAUCCCAGAUGGUUGCCUGUUGGCCACUCGGGGCCCUCAAGAUUCCAGACUUGCAGCUCUACAGUGGGAUGCACUUUCUAUAGAUGGCAAGGGACCUCUCUGGGGUCACCACCUCACUCAGCUGGCAAUGCUGGCCCAAGCCAAGGAGGGCCAAGUCCCACAGGCAGUGGGUUCCGGGCCGCAAAGCUCAUCCAUAGGCUGGUUCUUUACAGCCGGGUCACAAGGUCAGGAGCGCCGGCGAAGGGUGUGGGGCCAGGGCCAGUGCUUCCUGCUCCCGUGAGAUGAGGCAGAUGUGAGCUUCGGGAGCCCGGCAAGGCAGCCUCAGAGUACCAUGCAGGAGACGCCUGGGCCUCGUGCCUCCCAGCAGCCCUCACACCACACUCCAAUGUCACCGUGCUGGCCGUGAAGCAGCUCGCUCUUCCCCUUUCAUCACCCUCACAGGGCAUCUACCAGACUCUGGGCCGAAGGCAGCGGGAUGGUUUGGGAACACAGGGGAAGGACGUAGCCCAUGCCAUCUCCCAUCUGAGGAGAGGGUCAACGGGGAGAACCCCAGAGACACGAGAUGGGCUGUGCUCCUUGACGGACUCGGGCACCCCAUGAGGCUGGGACUCUCCAGGCUGCCCCAGGAAGGGCAGAGCUCGGCCUUGCCCCUUCCCUGCCCUCCCGCUCUCUGGCUGGCAGACACUGGAGGGGAUGGUGGCUCUGAAGCCAGGCGAUGGUUUGCCAUGGGGAACCUGGGAGCAAGACAGGAGCCCACCGGUGGCAGCUCAGGGGAGGAGGAAGCACCGAGCCGGCAGAGGACCACUACAUUCGGCAUCUCAAGGGGGAAGGGGGACAGCCACAGGGUGGAGGGAGAACAGCUGGCUUCAGGCUCCAGAACCUACGGAAUUAAGUAAAAUGAAGUAACACAGCUUCCGAAAAAGGUGAUUCUCAAAUUAGGUUCCGAAGCCUCGAAGGAGAGGAACAGGGUGUCCCUUGCUCCUUCCCCCGGUGCUGACACUGGUGCCGAGAAGCAGGGAGUCUCCUGCCCUAGGAACUUCCGGUCCUGCUCUGCCCUUCCCGAGACCCAUCUCAGCCUGGCCCUUCACAUUUCCAUCCGCCAGGCACACAGCCCGGCUGCCUCCGACAUGAGUUUUCCAUACUGAGAAACGUAAAGAUCAAAAACAAAACUUCUGAAAAGAAACAGUGUCGAGACUUCUUCCAGUUUCCCAGGAGCCCUCUCGUCUGGCACCUCAGGCUGGGUGUGACUGGAGCUGCACACCGCACACCGCACACCGCACACGGAGGGAGGGGAGGGGAGUCGAGGCUGAGACUGGCCGUGUGCAUCUCCCAAGCCCCAGGCUGCAGGACCAACGUCCUCGCGGAGGGAAUCUCAACCCUUCUGUUCCCUCUUCUCCUCCUCCUCCUCCUCUUCACACUAACUUCACUGGGCUCUUCAGACUGGAGCUUGACAACCAAAUGCCUAGGGAGAAAGGGAAAAAUUCCAUCAGUUUGACAGCAGAACCAACAUGCAGUGAGAGAGGAGAGCGGAAGCUGGCGGUGGAGAAGCCCACACUGAGGGCGGGGCAGCGCCCACUGAGAAGGGUGUGCCUCCCGCGGCUGGAGGCACGUCUGCGUGCCCUGAUGAACACUUCUUCCCCUUUGGUUUCCUACCUUCUACCCAAUUUGUGUAAGAGUGGGGAAUCACCGAGGAGGGAGUGGCACACUUAGCCGCAC